UAAUACGGAGGUUGCGAGCGUUGUUCGGAAUAACUGGGCGUAAAGGGAGCGCAGGCGGUCUGGUAAGUCUAAAGUGAAAGCCCGGGGCUUAACCUCGGAAGUGCUUUGGAUACUGUCAGACUCGAGUUCGUAAGAGGAAAGCGGAAUUCCAGGUGUAGCGGUGAAAUGCGUAGAUAUCUGGAGGAACACCGGUGGCGAAAGCGGCUUUCUGGUACGAUACUGACGCUGAGGCUCGAAAGCAUGGGGAGCGAACAGG
rnacentral:rRNA from 1 species